AGAUGACCUCUGCAAAGUAUGUGGAGUUUCUGACUGACCACUUUCUUCUCUGUUACAGAAGGAAGAACUAUGCUUUCCGUAAUAAAAUCAUCUUCAUGCAUGACAAUGCACCAUCUUAUGCUGCAAAGAAUACCUCUUCAUCAAUGGCUGCUAUGUGGAUAAAAGGAGAGAAAGUCAUGGUGUGGCCUCCCCUGACCUCAAUCCUAUUGAGAUCCUUUGGAGCAUCCUCAAGCAAAAGAUCUAUGAGGGUGGGAGGCAGUUUACAUCCAAACAGCAGCUGUGGGAGUCUAUUCUGACAUCUUGCAAACAAAUUCAAGCAGAAACUGUCCAAAAACUCACAAGUUCAAUGGAUGCAAGACUUGUGAAGCUGCUAUCAAAAAAGGGG